UUGGCUUUGAUUUCGCUUCUUUUGUGGUGUUUAGGCAUUAGUGACUAGCUUCUGCUCGUAGUAAUUAUACUAGUAUCUUCAAUUGAGUCUCCAUUUUUGAAUUCAGAUUCAGUCUCUGUUUUCUUCACUGCUGUGCUUUUCUUUUAUGUGUACAUAAGUAGUAAUAUGUAUCUUUAUUCUUUCUAUUUCACUCUUAAUUAAUUAUUUUUAUGUUGCAAGUUCUGUCAAGGGGAGGGGAGGCUGUACAGAUGACUACUGACCAUGAACCUAAUACUGAGCGGGGCAUCAUUGAGAACCGAGGUGGCUUUGUCUCAAACAUGCCAUAAAAAAAGAAACUUCUUUUGGAACAGAAUGAACCACAUGUUGCAAGAAUCUCAGUUUACGAGGGGUGUGAGAGAGAGGUUGCUGAGGCUGGGAAUUGCUGACCA